AAUAUCUCUCAGCGCCUGUGGAGGGAGGAGCACAUUUACAAGUUAUGUACCCAUGGAUGUGCAAACCUUCUUUGUAUGAAAGGUUUGACAAACGGCAAGUAUGUGUUGAGAUGAUUUGCCCCUGUGCUCUUGUGGGAAAUGUAGAUCUCCUUGAGAAGCUCAAGAAGAAGAACAGAGAAGCGGAUCUCAGAGUCUAUGAGCAUAGAGGGUUUUCUAGCAUUUUCAUUUCAGCUGUGGAGCAAUUUUCUCAAACAUACGCACCAACAUUCUACGCUGCUCUGGAUCUUCUCCCUCUUUGCUCUACAUAUGAUCAAGCAGGAUCCAGGAGUGUUACCUUUGUUAUCACUGCAAGACAACAGAAACUCAUCUCAGCAGGUCUUAUUGAUUUCUGGACGAAAACUUACUCAUGCUCCGUUCACUGUUUGG